rnacentral:rRNA from 1 species
UACAGAGACUGCAAGCGUUAUUCGGAUUCACUGGGCGUAAAGGGUGCGCAGGCGGCCAAGUGUGUUAGGCGUGAAAGCCUGAGGCUUAACCUCAGAAUUGCACCUAAAACUACAUGGCUAGAGCAUUGGAGAGGGUAGCGGAAUUCCCAGUGUAGUGGUGAAAUACGUAGAUAUCGUGAGGAACACCAGAGGCGAAGGCGGCUACCUGGACAAUUGCUGACGCUCAGGCACGAAAGCGUGGGGAGCAAAAGGG